rnacentral:rRNA from 1 species
UGCGCCUUGCCAGCCCGCUCAGAAACUUAAAUGAAUUGACGGGGGCCCGGCACAAGCGGUGGAGCAUGUGGUUUAAUUCGAUGAUACGCGAGGAACCUUACCUGGGCUUAAAUGCUUAAUGACGUACUGGGAAACUGGUAUUUCUUCGGACAUUUUGCAAGGUGCUGCAUGGUUGUCGUCAGCUCGUGCCGUGAGGUGUCGGGUUAAGUCCCAUAACGAGCGCAACCCCUAUUGUUAGUUGCCAUCAGGUCAUGCUGGGGACUCUAACAAAACUGCCCGCGUAAGCGUGGAGGAAGGUGGGGAUGACGUCAAAUCAGCACGGCCCUUACGUCCAGGGCUACACACGUGCUACAAUGGCCGGUACAGAGGGCAGCCACUUGGUGACAAGGAGCAAAUCUCAAAAGCCGGUCUCAGUUCGGAUCGGAGUCUGCAACUCGACUCCGUGAAGUUGGAUUCGCUAGUAAUCGUAGAUCAGCAAUGCUACGGUGAAUACGUUCCCGGGCCUU